rnacentral:lncRNA from 1 species
CUCCCUUUGUGGCCUAUCACGUCUGGCCUCCUCUGGUAGAAGAUGGCACUGUUAUAGUGAAAGGAGAAGUAGUCACUAAAAAAAUGGUUAUGUGUCCUCGCAGAUGCAGGAUUAGAAGCAGAAGCUGCAGCUGUGGCCGUCCUCUGCUGUGUGGUCAAGUGCCUCGAAGCCGCAGUCUUUCAACAGUGAGGGUCAGAAGGCGCUGCUAACUGGACAUCUUCCUGCAGUGCAACACAACUGGAUUCAACAACUUUGCUGGUGUCGUUUCUCUUCGGAAAUACCUCAAAUCUCUCAAUAAAUGGCGGUUGUCACUCCA